rnacentral:lncRNA from 1 species
UCAAAGCUUAUUUUAUUUCAAUGGAGAUUGUAACUUAUUUAUAAGAGACUAAACUUGCUCACAAAGCUAGAUAUUUAUUACAUUGGAAAUGAUAAAACUAGUGCAUGGAGGAGAGAGAGUGUUCUUGAAACAAGCAUUCCUUGCAUGUAGGAGAGAGAAGCUUUCCAUGCAAUUAACCACCUAAUUUUCGUCACUCUCUUUGGACACAUGCAAUUAACCACUUAAUUUUCGUCACUCUCUUUGGACAGCAAAGAAACCAUUUGAUUUUGAAUCUUCUUGGGCUUGUAACUUGAUAAAAAUGGGCUGGACAUGUUAGCUAACAUCUUGGGUCAAUUUCUGAAUGUCUUCCAUGUCCAUAGCUUCACAUAUGAGCCCAAUAUCACAUCAUACUCCUCCUCUUCAAAAAGAUUUGUCCUCAAAUCUUGCUGCUAUGAAACCGUAAAGCUUCAAAGGCAAGGGAUGUGGAGUGAAUGGUUGCACGACGGAUGCAGAAGGCCUCCGAUAUUCCAACUCAAUGACUUAGGAUAUGACGCACCAAGACGACAAUGAGGAUGAUUCCCUGGAUAUGACGCACCAGGACGAAUCGGUUUGAUCCCUUGGAUAUGACGCACCAAGACGGAUCGAAAAGAUCAAUGUAUAUUACACACCAUUGAAAGAAAAGUGAGAAUCACUCUCAAGGUUCCAAAAAUAAUCACUCAAAGCUUAUUUUAUUUCAAUGGAGAUUACAACUUAUUUAUAAGAGACUAAACUUGCUCACAAAACUAGAUAUUUAUUACAUUGGAAAUGAUAAAACUAGUGCAUGGAUUAUUACAUUGGAAAUGAUAAAACUAGUGCAUGGAGGAGAGAGAGUGUUCUUGAAACAAGCAUUCCUUGCAUGUAGGAGAGAGAAGCUUUACAUGCAAUUAACCACUUAAUUUUCGUCACUCUCUUUGGACAGCAAAGAAACCAUUUGAUUUUGAAUCUUCUUGGGCUUGUAACUUGAUAAAAAUGGGCUCGACAUGUUAGCUAACAUCUUGGGUCAAUUUCUGAAUGUCUUCCAUGUCCAUAGCUUCACAUAUGAGCCCAAUAUCACAUCAUACUCCUCCUCUUCAAAAAGAUUUGUCUUCAAAUCUUGCUGCUAUGAAACCGUAAAGCUUCAAAGGCAAGGGAUGUGGAGUGAAUGGUCGCUCUGAUACCAAUUGAUGAAAACUUCCCGAGGAGUCGACACUCUAAGUUGGUAAAGGGGAUAAACCUUGCUGCUAUGAAACCGUAAAGCUUCAAAGACAAGGGAUGUGGAGUGAAUUGUCGCAUGAAGGAUGCGGAAGGCCUCUGAUAUUCCAAGUCAAUGCCCUAGGAUAUGACGCACCUAGACGGCAAUGAGGAUGAUUCCCUGGAUAUGACGCACCAGGACAAAUCGGUUUGAUCCCUUGGAUAUGACGCACCAAGACGGAUCGAAAAGAUCAAUGGAUAUUAAACAUCAUUGAAAGAAAAGUGAGAAUCACUCUCAAGGUUCCAAAAAUAAUCACUCAAAGCUUAUUUUAUUUCAAUGGAGAUUACAACUUAUUUAUAAGAGACUAAACUUGCUCACAAAGCUAGAUAUUUAUUACAUUGGAAAUGAUAAAACUAGUGCAUGGAGGAGAGAGAGUGUUCUUGAAACAAG